CUUCCUUCCCUUCCAUCGCGCAGCCAUCGUGCAAACGUGGAAGCCUCUGUCGCGCAGGUUCCCCACUUCUCCUCCUCUUCCUCAUUCAGAUACAGGUAUACAGCGCCCCACCCCCAAAACAGAAACCCUAGGUUACUCCCCCACUGCCGCAAGGGUCUCACUCAACGCCGCCGUUGCGCUCAGACACCAUCGUGUCUUCGUCCGGUCGUCUGCGGCUCCACGCUUCUUCCUCAUUCAACAAUUGAGUUGGUCCAAUGGAGGAUAGCCAGGAAAUUGAGGAGUAGGUACAGGAAGAAGUGAUUUCAGACAAUGGAACU